rnacentral:rRNA from 1 species
UACAGAGGUCUCAAGCGUUGUUCGGAUUCAUUGGGCGUAAAGGGUGUGUAGGUGGCGCGCUAAGUCGGGUGUGAAAUUUCGGAGCUUAACUCCGAAACUGCAUUCGAUACUGGCGUGCUUGAGGACUGGAGAGGAGACUGGAAUUCAUGGUGUAGCAGUAAAAUGCGUAGAGAUCAUGAGGAAGACCAGUGGCGAAGGCGGGUCUCUGGACAGUUCCUGACACUGAGACACGAAGGCCAGGGGAGCAAACGGG